rnacentral:rRNA from 1 species
GUGGGGAAUAUUGCACAAUGGGCGCAAGCCUGAUGCAGCCAUGCCGCGUGUGUGAAGAAGGCCUUCGGGUUGUAAAGCACUUUCAGCGGGGAGGAAGGCGAUAAGGUUAAUAACCUUGUCGAUUGACGUUACCCGCAGAAGAAGCACCGGCUAACUCCGUGCCAGCAGCCGCGGUAAUACGGAGGGUGCAAGCGUUAAUCGGAAUUACUGGGCGUAAAGCGCACGCAGGCGGUCUGUCAAGUCGGAUGUGAAAUCCCCGGGCUCAACCUGGGAACUGCAUUCGAAACUGGCAGGCUAGAGUCUUGUAGAGGGGGGUAGAAUUCCAGGUGUAGCGGUGAAAUGCGUAGAGAUCUGGAGGAAUACCGGUGGCGAAGGCGACCCCCUGGACAAAGACUGACGCUCAGGUGCGAAAGCGUGGGGAGCAAACAGGAUUAGAAACCCUGGUAGUCC